rnacentral:rRNA from 1 species
ACGAUGUCGACUUGGAGGUUGUGCCCUUGAGGUGUGGCUUCCGGAGCUAACGCGUUAAGUCGACCGCCUGGGGAGUACGGCCGCAAGGUUAAAACUCAAAUGAAUUGACGGGGGCCCGCACAAGCGGUGGAGCAUGUGGUUUAAUUCGAUGCAACGCGAAGAACCUUACCUGGUCUUGACAUCCACGGAAGUUUUCAGAGAUGAGAAUGUGCCUUCGGGAACCGUGAGACAGGUGCUGCAUGGCUGUCGUCAGCUCGUGUUGUGAAAUGUUGGGUUAAGUCCCGCAACGAGCGCAACCCUUAUCCUUUGUUGCCAGCGGUCCGGCCGGGAACUCAAAGGAGACUGCCAGUGAUAAACUGGAGGAAGGUGGGGAUGACGUCAAGUCAUCAUGGCCCUUACGACCAGGGCUACACACGUGCUACAAUGGCGCAUACAAAGAGAAGCGACCUCGCGAGAGCAAGCGGACCUCAUAAAGUGCGUCGUAGUCCGGAUUGGAGUCUGCAACUCGACUCCAUGAAGUCGGAAUCGCUAGUAAUCGUGGAUCAGAAUGCCACGGUGAAUACGUUCCCGGGCCUUGUACACACC